rnacentral:rRNA from 1 species
AGUAACGCGUGGGAACAUACCCUUUGGUACGGAAUAGCCUCGGGAAACUGAGAGUAAUACCGUAUGUGGUCGUAAGACGAAAGAUUUAUCGCCAAAGGAUUGGCCCGCGUUGGAUUAGGUAGUUGGUGGGGUAAUGGCCUACCAAGCCGACGAUCCAUAGCUGGUUUGAGAGGAUGAUCAGCCACACUGGGACUGAGACACGGCCCAGACUCCUACGGGAGGCAGCAGUGGGGAAUCUUAGACAAUGGGCGCAAGCCUGAUCUAGCCAUGCCGCGUGAUCGAUGAAGGCCUUAGGGUUGUAAAGAUCUUUCAGUUGGGAAGAUAAUGACGGUACCAACAGAAGAAGCCCCGGCUAACUCCGUGCCAGCAGCCGCGGUAAUACGUAGGGUGCGAGCGUUGUCCGG